CGGGGGAGCAAGCGUUGUUCGGAUUUACUGGGCGUAAAGGGCGCGUAGGCGGCGCAACAAGUCACUUGUGAAAUCUCCGGGCUUAACUCGGAGCGGCCAAGUGAUACUGUCGUGCUAGAGUGCGGAAGGGGCAACUGGAAUUCUCGGUGUAGCGGUGAAAUGCGUAGAUAUCGAGAGGAACACCUGCGGCGAAGGCGGGUUGCUGGGCCGACACUGACGCUGAGGCGCGAAAGCCAGGGGAGCGAACGGGAUUAGAUACCCCGGUAGUCCUGGCCUUAAACGAUGGAUGCUUGGUGUCCGGGGUUACAUAGUCCCCGGGUGCCGUCGCUAACGCCUUAAGCAUCCCGCCUGGGGAGUACGCACGCAAGUGUG
rnacentral:rRNA from 1 species